rnacentral:rRNA from 1 species
UACGAAGGGUGCAAGCGUUGUUCGGAAUUACUGGGCGUAAAGCGCGCGUAGGCGGAUUCGUAUGUCGGAUGUGAAAUCCCAGGCUUAACCUGGGAAUUGCAUCCGAAACUGCGAACCUUGAAUGCUUGAGAGGAUGACGGAAUUCCUGGUGUAGAAGUGAAAUUCGUAGAUAUCAGGGGGAACACCGGAGGCGAAGGCGGUUGUCUGGCGAUGCAUUGACGCUGAGGCGCGAAAGCGUGGGUAGCAAACAGG